GAUGAACGCUAGCGAUAGGCUUAACACAUGCGAGUCGAGGGGCAGCAUGGUCUUAGCUUGCUAAGACUGAUGGCGACCGGCGCACGGGUGCGUAACGCGUAUGCAACUUGCCUCACAGAGGGGGAUAACCCGUCGAAAGACGGACUAAUACCGCGUACACUUGGGAUAGGGCAUCCUGACCCAAGGAAAUGAAAUUCGCUGUGAGAUAGGCAUGCGUCCCAUUAGCUAGUUGGUGAGGUAACGGCUCACCAAGGCGACGAUGGGUAGGGGAACUGAGAGGUUGAACCCCCACACUGGUACUGAGACACGGACCAGACUCCUACGGGAGGCAGCAGUGAGGAAUAUUGGUCAAUGGGCGAGAGCCCGAACCAGCCAAGUCGCGUGAAGGAUGACUGUCUUAUGGAUUGUAAACUUCUUUUAUACGGGAAUAACAAGAGCCACGUGUGGCUCCCUGCAUGUACCGUAUGAAUAAGCAUCGGCUAACUCCGUG
rnacentral:rRNA from 1 species